rnacentral:rRNA from 1 species
UACGUAGGGUGCGAGCGUUGUCCGGAAUUAUUGGGCGUAAAGAGCUCGUAGGCGGUGUGUCGCGUCGGCCGUGAAAACCUGGGGCUCAACUCUGGGCGUGCGGUCGAUACGGUCAUCACUUGAGUUCGGCAGGGGAGACUGGAAUUCCUGGUGUAGCGGUGAAAUGCGCAGAUAUCGGGAAGAACACCUAUGGCGAAGGCAGCUCUCUGGGACGGUACUGACGCUGAGACGCGAAAGCGUGGGGAGCAAACAGG